GCGCGAAAACUUUACAAUGCCGGCAACGGCGAUAAGGGGACCUCGAGUGCCAGGUUACAAAUCUGGCUGUCGUGAUGCCUAAAAAGCAUUGCAUAGCAAGGGCCGGGCAAGACCGGUGCCAGCCGCCGCGGUAACCCCGGCGGCUCGAGUGGUAACCGUUAUUAUUGGGUCUAAAGGGUCUGUAGCCGGCCGGAUAAGUCUCUUGAGAAAUCCAGCAGCUCAACGGUUGGGCUUUCAGGAGAGACUGUCUGGCUCGAGGCCGGGAGAGGUGAGAGGUACUUCAGGGGUAGGGGUGAAAUCUUGUAAUCCUUGAAGGACCACCAGUGGCGAAGGCGUCUCACCAGAACGGACCUGACGGCAAGGGACGAAAGCUAGGGGCACGAACC
rnacentral:rRNA from 1 species